rnacentral:rRNA from 1 species
UACUAGAGUAGCACUCGCAUAUCAAUAAGCGGAGGAAAAGAAACUAACAAGGAUUCCCCUAGUAACGGCGAGUGAAGCGGGAAGAGCUCAAAUUUGAAAUCUUAAAGGGUUUCCCUUUACGAAUUGUAGUUUAAAGAAGUGUUUUCUGUUGAGGUUUUGGUAAAAGUUCUUUGGAAUAGGACAUCAUAGAGGGUGAGAAUCCCGUAUUUGACCUUUACUUUCAACUUUGUGAUACACUUUCAAAGAGUCGGAUUGUUUGGGAAUGCAGUCCAAAAUGGGUGGUAAAUUUCAUCUGAAGCUAAAUAUUGGCGAGAGACCGAUAGCGAACAAGUACCGUGAGGGAAAGAUGAAAAGAACUUUGAAAAGAGAGUUAAACAGUACGUGAAAUUGUCAAAAGGGAAGCGUUUGACACCAGUGUUGUUUUUCUGAAAAUCAAUUAAAGAACUGUUUAUGCUAAGUUGUUUAGACUUUAUCAGCUAACUGUUUAGUUUUGAGCUUUUCUUUAAUGCACUUUUCAGUUAACAAGUCAACAUCAAUUUCUUUUGCUGUAAAAAAGCUUGAGGAAGGUGGCUUGAGAUUCGUCUUAAGUGUUUAUAGCCUCUUGCCUAUGCAGUCGGAGAGAUUGAGGUCUGCAGCGUAGAUCCUUCGGGGCUAAAUGCAUUUGUGCUAAGUUAUAGCAUUUUAUAGACAACUUGUUGACUAUGAUUUGUCUUGUAGCUUACUCGCUUAUGUUAUUUUACCUACGCUUAGGAUGUUGAGUAGCGACAUACGCAC